UGUUAAAAACACUCAUAAGAUUAGUCACAUAAUUUGACAGGUAUUUUGGGUAUGUGCUUAUUUAUGUGAGCUUGUUCACCCAGCAGCUAUACCACCUGGCAACCACCUGCUGUUUUGGUAGGAGAACUCAAGGGAAUAGUGCAGCUCACUGUUCUGAAGAAGACACUGUCUUUCACCUGUGAAUCAGUGUCCUGAAUCUCUGAAGUCAUUAAGAUCCCAUGAUACUUCCUUCAAAGCAUUGUGAAUUCUUACAUAUCCACAUCAACUAAUGUGGAACUACACGUCUGUACACCUCUGAGCUGUAUGGUCUGAGACCACCAGAACAACACUGCUAAGGCUCACUGAGCCACACAGGAUCAGGCACAGAGAACAGGAAUUCACAAGAUUAGAGUCUGCCCAAAUGGCAGAGCCGAAGACAGAGUGUGCCUCUCCAGCACUCCACGCAUUAGAGUCAGAGUGUAUGAUGGCGUACGUGGGUGUCAAUGAUAAACGCCACACAGCCACAUUAUUGAUAAAAACAGAAAAUGAUCUGGGCUCCACCCACAGUGGGGGUGUUAUAAAGACUGAGUGCCUAGACAAUA